AGGACGGUAGCUCUCCAGGAACAGGGUUGGAGAUCCCUGACCUACAGUAUACUAAUAAACAUGGGAGUUUUCACCAACAUACAAUAUUUUGCAGUGGCCCAAUGCUGAAACUUGUUUAUAAACUUCAAGCUGAAGAAUACAACUUUGAGAUCCAAGUCGCCAGUUUACCUGAUCGUGUGAGAAUUUCCAUCCAGGAGGGAGUCAUUUCAAAUAGCCGGAUUUUCCUCAAUAAAUUACACUCUCAGAAUCAGAGAUUGUCACUCAAUGCCUUUGAGUACUUCAUGUUUUAUUUUGCAUCAAGUGUCAUUACACAGAGGGAUCACCCUUCAGGGCAUCAAACCUCCAUCUCUAACAGCGUCUACUUUGCCUUGGUGGAUGCAUAUCUCAUACACUUCCUCCCUACAGAAGGAUCCCCUCACUCAGAUGUCAAAGGCACCUAGACCUCACACAUUCCAAGGUCCUCUAGGUAUAGUGAAACAAACAAAGGCCUGUUGAAACGCCAGUGCCCUGUUAACGCUGAGACAACCAAUCAGGGCGAUCUGGAGAUCAGGGACUAUG